GACGAACCGAGCGAACGUUGUUCGGAAUCACUGGGCUUAAAGGGCGCGUAGGCGGGUGCUCAAGUCCGUGGUGAAUCCUCCGGCUCAACCGGAGAACUGCCUCGGAUACUGGGCGUCUCGAGUGUGGUAGGGUAUGCGGAACUAUCGGUGGAGCGGUGAAAUGCGUUGAUAUCGAUAGGAACUCCGGUGGCGAAGGCGGCAUACUGGACCACCACUGACGCUGAUGCGCGAAAGCCAGGGAGCGAACGGG
rnacentral:rRNA from 1 species